GGGCACGACACGGGGUGCCCGGAACCGUCCGGGCUGAGAGCACACCCGUCGAACCUGAUUCAGGUCAUGCUGACGAAGGGAUGUCGCCAUGGUGGCCG
rnacentral:ncRNA from 1 species